rnacentral:rRNA from 1 species
AUACGUAGGGGGCGAGCGUUGCCCGGAAUGAUUGGGCGUAAAGGGCGCGUAGGCGGCGCGGUAAGUCUGGAGUGAAAGUCCUGCUUUCAAGGUGGGAAUUGCUUUGGAUACUGCCGCGCUUGAGUGCAGGAGAGGUUAUCGGAAUUCCCGGUGUAGCGGUGAAAUGCGUAGAGAUCGGGAGGAACACCAGUGGCGAAGGCGGGUAACUGGACUGCAACUGACGCUGAGGCGCGAAAGUGUGGGGAGCAAACAGGAUUAGAUACCCUGGUAGUCCACACUGUAAACGAUGAAUGCUAGGUGUAAGAGGUAUCGACCCCUUUUGUGCCGGAGUCAACACAAUAAGCAUUCCGCCUGGGGAGUACGGCCGCAAGGUUGAAACUCAAAUGAAUUGACGGGG